rnacentral:lncRNA from 7 species
GUGUCCCUAUGGGGUUUUUAUAGGGUCCCUAUGUGUCUCUAUGGGUCUCUAUGGGGUUUUUAUAGGGUCCCUAUAGGUCUCUAUGGGGUCGCUAUGGGUCGCGAUGUGUCCCUAUGGGGUCUCUAUGGGUCUCUAUGGGUCCCAAUGUGUCGCUAUGGGUCCCAAUGUGUCCCUAUAUGUCUCUAUGGGUCUCUAUGGGGUCUCUAUGGGUCUCUAUGGGUCGCGGUGUGUCGCUAUGGGUCGCGAUGUGUCCCUAUGGGGUCUCUAUGGGGUCCCUAUGGCUCUCUAUGGGGUCUCUAUGGGGUCUCUAUGGGUCCCAAUGUGUCCCUAUGGGGUCCCUAUGUGUCCCUAUGGGUCUCUAUGGGUCCCAAUGUGUCGCUAUGGGUCUCUAUGGGUCUCUAUGGUAGGUCCCUAUGUGUCCCUAUGGGGUCUCUAUGUGUCCCUAUGGGUCUCUAUGGGGUUAUGGCAGGUCCUCUAUGUGUCCUAUGGGUCUCCUAUGGGGUCCCUAUGGGUCUCUAUGGGUUUUUAGGGUCUCUAUGGUGUCCUCUAUGGGGUCUCUAUGGGUCUCUUAUGGGGUUCCUCUAUGGGUCCUCUAUGGUCUCUAUGGUCCUAUGGUCUCUAUGUGUCCUAUGGGUCCCUAUGGGUCUCUAUGGGGUUUUUAUAGGGUCCCUAUGUGUCGCUAUGGGUCUCUAUGGGGUUUUUAUAGGGUCCCUAUGGGUCUCUAUGGGUCGCUAUGGGUCUCUAUGGGGUUUUUAUAGGGUCCCUAUGGGGUCUCUAUGUGUCCCUAUGGGUCUCUAUGGGUCUCUAUGGGGUUUUUAUAGGGUCCUUAUGUGUCUCUAUGGGUCGCUAUGGGUCUCUAUGGGGCUUUUAUAGGGUCCCUAUGUGUCUCUAUGGGUCUCUAUGUGUCCCAAUGGGUCCCUAUGUGUCUCUAUGUGUCGCUAUGGGUCUCUAUGGGGUUUUUAUAGGGUCCCUAUGUGUCUCUAUGGGUCCCUAUGGGUCGCUAUGGGUCUCUAUGGGGCUUUUAUAGGGUCCCUAUGUGUCUCUAUGGGUCUCUAUGUGUCCCAAUGGGUCCCUAUGUGUCUCUAUGUGUCGCUAUGUGUCCCUAUGGGGUUUUUAUAGGGUCCCUAUGGGUCUCUAUGUGUCCCUAUGUGCCUCUAUGGGUCUCUAUGGGUCGCUAUGGGUCGCGCAGUGUCGGUUCCGCCCCACUCACUCCACGUGACGGCCGCCAACGCCUCCGUGCAGACGUCGCUCUCCGCCCCACAGCGGACGGUUAUGGGGCGGCUGCAGUUCCCAUCCGCCGCCCCACAGCUCAGACAGCGCAGCCCCACAGCGCCUGCGGGACCCACAGCUAUGGGGCGGGACCCCAUCUAUGGGGCAGGAUCCCCGUCUAUGGGGCGGGACCCCAUUUUAUGGGGUAGGAUCCCCAUCUAUGGGGCGGGACCCACAGCUAUGGGG